CUUGAUGAUAAACUCCUUUAGUUUUUGCUUGUCUGGGAAAUUCUUUAUCUCUCCUUCCAUUCUGAAUUACAACCUUGCCAGAUAGAGUAUUCUUUGCUGUAGGGUUUUUCCUCUCAGCACUUUAAAUAUAUCAUGCCUCUCCCCUCUAGCCUUUAAGAUUUUUGCCAAGAAGUCAGCUGAUAGUGUUAUGGAAUGUCCUUUGUAUGUAACUUGUUGCCUUUCUCUUGUAGCUUUUAGGAUUCUCCCUUUACUUUUAAUUCUUGACAUUUUAAUUAUAAUGUGUCUUGGUGUCAGCCUCUUUGGGUUUCUCUUGUUUGGUGCUCUCUGGGCUUCCUGUACCUGGAUAUCUGUUUCUUUCCUUAGGUUAGGAAAGUUUUCAGCUAUUAUUUCUUCAAAUAGGUUCUCUACCCCUUUGUCUCUAUUUUAUCAUUCUGGGACACCUAUAAUAUGAAUGUUAGUGUGCAUGAUGUUGUCCCAGAGGUCCCUUAGACUGUCCUCAUUUUUCUUACUUCUUUUUUCUAUUAUUUGUUCAGCUUUGGUGAUUUCCUCUAGUAUUUCAUCCAGCUCACUGAUAUGUUCUCCUUUAUCAUCUACUCUACUUUUGAGUCCUUCUAGUGAAUUUUUCAUUUCCAGUAUUGUAUUCUUCAUUUUUGAUUGGUUCUUUUUUAUAUUUUCCAAUUCUUUGAAGUUCCCACGAAAUUCAUCCAUUCUUCUCCCAAGAUCAGUGAGUGUUCCUAUGACUAUUAGUUUGAACUCUUUGUCAGGUAGAUUAUUUAUCUGUUUCAUUUAGUUCUUUUUCUGUGGUUUUGUCCUGUUCCCUUACUUGGAACUUAUUCCUUUGUCUUCUCAUUUUGCCUCUUUCUCUGUGCUUAUAUCUAUACAUUAUGUAGGUCAGUUACUUCUCACAAUCUUGGAGAGGUGGCCUUGUGUAAGAAAUGCUUUAUGAGGCCCAGCAGUGUGCUUCCAUCUCAUCACCAGUUCCAAAUGUUCCAGGAGUGUUCCCUGUAUGGGCUGUGUAUGUCCUUCUGCUGUGUCAGGGUUACUCUUGCUGCAGGUACCCGGGGAGGGUAGGCUGUCCACCUGGCCUUCUGGUUGUAAUGCUCAGCUAUGUGUGGCUGCUAGGGUCCCUUCAGUCACUUUAUUGGGUGUGGGGGGCCCCAGCACAAUUGGCUGCAAGGUCUAAUAGCACAUUCCUGUUGCAGUAUUUCUGUUAAGUGAGUAGACCCCCAGUGUGGCUGUUUGCUAGGCUCAGGGGCUUACAAUUGCUCUAGGCCUCCAGCCUGCAAGGCUGUUAUCAGCUCUCUUAGGAGUGCAGCUGAGUGGGGCUGGCCCCAGGCAUGGGAGCACCCAAUAGCUUCAGGCUUUGGAGCAUGGGGCUGAUCCUCUAUAUGGCUGUUUGAAAAACACAAGUCUGCUGCAGCUGAGAAGUCCCACUUCCCACAGGGCCACACACUCUGUCAAAACAGUCCUGUCCCAUGUGCACACUUUGACCCACUGAAGUGGACCCGGUCACCCCAUGGAAGAGGCCCCACACAUUCUACUAAUGCAGGCUGCCCCUCAUGAACUCCCUGCACCACAGAGGCAGACCCACUCACCCAGCUGCAGAGGUUCCAGGCAGCCGGCCUAUGGGAGCCCACAAGUUGCCUGAAGGCUUACGGUUGAGUGGGGCCAGUCCCUAGGGUAGGCUGCCUGCCCUGGCUGAGCUGGAUUAAAUCAGUGCUCUAGCCGGUGGGGCAGACCCCUGGGCUAACAGGCUAGGGGAAGAACUCCGAUGGCGUCUGCCAGCAUCUGCAUCAGCAUGCCUGCACUAGGUCACGAUAAUGGUUGCCACCAAUGUCUCAGUCCCUUGGGAAGUGUUCCCAGCCUGGGGAGGUCUCAGCUCCCACCAAGAUGUGCCCACAGCCUAUCAAGUGAGUCUCUUUUCACCAAAGGACUGUGCCCCUUUCUUUCUGGUGAUUUUAGGUUGCUUUCAGAAAUGGGUGAAUUUGUGUGAGGACCCCUUAGGAGGAGGGGUUUUUUUUUCCCCCUUAUGUCCAAUAGCUUUUCUGGGAGUAUUCCCCAUUGUUAUUAAUAGCCAGCAAAGCCAGAUGUUAUGACACUUGUCUUGGUUGUGCUGAGUCCAAAAGCUGCAUAUUGUGGUAACGCUCUUCUGCUCAGAUCACCUGCUCCUCCAGGGGAGGCUUUGAACCUUGGGAUUGCUCCUGGCCAGCCAUGAGGUGCUGCAGCUCGAAGCUGGCAUUUUUCUCUUCAGAAAGGAAUUUCUGCCUUUUCCACCUCAGUCAGCACUGUCCCUUGUUGUGGGGGUUCUUUUUAUUCAGUUUUCAGUUCUCUCCUAGGGGUAAUUCUUCCCAGAGUAGUUGUAAAUUUGUUGUUUGCAUGCAAGGAGGUGCGUUCAGAGUCCGCCUAUGCUGCCAUCUUGACAUCAGGUGCGAGUGUACUUAAAUAUUAAUUUUUGGUGUAUUGACUGAAUCAAACAACCUUGAUAAACUGUCAUAAAAUUCUAACAACUUACUGUAUUUCAAUGUACCUAAUAUACAAUCAAUUAUAAGAUACACCAUUUAUGUAUUCUUCUUUUUUUUUUUUGAGGAAGAUUAGCUCUGAGCUAACGUCCGUGCCCAUUUUCUUCUACUUUACAUGUGGGAUGCCUACCACAGCAUGGCCUGUCAAGCAGUGCGAUGUCUGCACCCAGGAUCCAAACCAGGGAACCCCAGGCCACCAAAGCAGAACAUGCGCACUUAACCACUGUGCCACCGGGCUGGCCCUAUGUACUAUUAUUCUUAAGAAGAUGCUAUGGUCCGCAUGUUUGUUUCCCCCAAAAAUUAAUAUGUUGAAGUCUUAACCCCCAAAGAUGAUGGUAUUGGGGGAUUGGGGUCUUUGAGAGGUUACUAGGUCAUGAGGGUGGAGACUUCAUGAAUGGGACACCUCACAGAGCUCCAUCACCUCUUCCACCAUGUGAGGACACAGCAAGAGAGUGCCAGCUAUGAACUAGGAAGAGGGCCCUCACCAGAAUGCGACCAUGGUGGCAUCUUGAUCUUGGCCCUCCCCACCUCCAGAACUGUGAGAAAGAAAUGUUUGCAGUUCAUAAGCUACUUGUGAUAUUUUCUUAUAGCAGCCCAAACAGACUAAGAAGGCUUCCAACUAAAUUAUGACAUCUAUUCUGAGAUGCACCCCAGUUACAGAGAUGUUGAAAUGUUUUUAACUGGGUCUUAAAGUUGUGUCACUCUGCUAUGGAUAGACGUGGAUUUAUUCUCUCUGCUUUGGAUUCAUUGAACUUCUUGAAUCUGUGGAUUGCCGUCUUUCAUCAGUUCUGGAAACUCUUCAACCAUUAUCUCUGCAAAUACUGCCUCUGGGACAUUCUUUUUCUUGUCUCCUUCUGGUACUCCAAUGAAAUAUAUAAGAGAAUUUUUGUCUUUUUACUUGCCUAUAUCAUUAG
ensembl:lncRNA